GUUGAGCAGAGGUAUUCGGUAGAAAGAUGACCGAAUGAAAGGGUGAUUGUCAAAAGGGGAGUUCAGUGCGAAAGAAUUGAUGAUGAUUCCGAAACGAAUAAGUCAGCUUCUUAACAAUAUUGUUGAUGGAGACAUCUGCAGAGAAAAACAGAAUGCAAUGUUUGAUUUAACCAUGAUUCAACCAUAUUUGAAAGGGUUAACACUAAGACCGUACCAGGUAGACGGAGUGAAAUGGGUGGUUGCCCGUUGCCUAAAAAAUCAUGGAUGCAUUCUUGGUGAUGAAAUGGGUCUUGGCAAAACUUGUCAGACUAUUGCAGUUCUGUUGUACCUCGCUAUGGUAAAGCAAAAGAGACAUUUUCUAGUGGUCUGCCCUCUGUCUGUCUUGGCUAAUUGGAAAGAUGAAUUUGAAAAGUUUGCACCUUGCUUGGAAAUUGUACGCUAUAUUGGCAAUAAAGAGACAAGAGAAAACAUACAAACAAGAAUGAACAACGGAUCACAAAAUUAUCACGUUCUGUUAACAACAUAUGAGAUGGUCUUAAAAGAUGUUGCAUUCCUUGAGAGAACAUCUUGGGAUGCGUUGGUAGUUGACGAAGCACACCGGCUCAAAAACUCAAACUCAAUGCUUCAUCAGGCACUCAAUAAUUUUGAUGUAAUGCUUCGGUUUCUCCUAACGGGUACACCAGUGCAGAACAAUUUGAGGGAGCUCUACAAUUUGCUCGCCUUCAUCGCACCGCAGAUAUUCAAACACAAGUAUUCGGAUGACUUCAUCGAUUAUUUUGCAAACAUAGAUAAUAAAACUGUGAAGAUUCAACUGCAUGAUUUGCUUUCACCUUUCUUGCUGCGGAGAACUAAGUCAGAGGUUGUACUGGAUCUACCAAAGAAGAAAGAGGUGAUUUUGUUUCAUGGACUAACAGCCCUGCAGAAGAAAUAUUACAAAGCUGUGCUCUUAAAAGACCAUGAUGCUUUUGAACAAGGCUCCCUUGGUACUUCAAAGACAAGGCUCAUGAACAUCAUGAUUCAGCUUAGGAAAUGUGUUAGUCAUCCAUAUCUAUUUGAUGGGGUUGAACCGGAACCCUUUGAACUUGGCGAACACCUAGUAGAAGCAAGUGGUAAACUACACCUGUUGGAUCAACUACUCCUGUUGCUAUACCAACAAGGUCAUAAGGUUUUAAUCUUCUCACAGAUGACUAGGAUGUUAGAUGUUGUACAGGAUUACUUAGGGUUCAGAGGCUAUUCAUAUGAAAGGUUGGAUGGCUCUGUGAGAGGUGAGGAGCGCUUCAUAGCCAUCAAAAACUUCAAUAAAGAUGACAACACAUUUGUAUUCCUACUGAGCACCAAAGCUGGGGGUCAAGGUUUAAACCUAGUCAGUGCAGACACAGUUAUAUUUUUAGACACUGACUUCAACCCGCAGAAUGACCUGCAAGCUUCUGCAAGAGCUCAUCGGAUCGGACAAACUCGACCAGUGAAGAUCAUCCGUUUAAUUGGUAAAGACUCUGUUGAGGAGGUGAUCCUAAGGCGGGCAGAUGCUAAACUGAAGUUGACCAAUUCAGUCAUUGAAGGUGGACAGUUCUCGUUGGGUAAUAAGAACGGCCAAUCAGAAUCUCCACAACAGCUGUCGGAAAUGCUAAAGUUUGGUCUUGAUAAACUUCUUGAGGAGAAAAACUCUGAUGAAAUAGAUCUCGAGAAGAUACUGGGACCAAGCAGGAAUGGAGAAUGGAAACUUGAUCAGAUCGAGAAAGAGGAGGAGGGGGAGGAGAAUGAAAUGCCACUCCUAAGCGAAUCGUCUGAAGAUACUCAAACACAAAGUAGUCACAUGUAUAUGUUUGAAGGGAAGGACUACUCCAAAGAAACCAGUGCUGCUGCCCUCAACGCCUUUGAUGAAAUGUUGGCAGCUGAAGUAAAGGUACAGGAAGAGAGCACAUUGGGUCAAAGGUCAAGGAGAGUAACUAGUACAGCAGCAAUACCAUUGAAAGAUCUACCGCAACGAAAACGAAAAAUUCUUACGGAUGAAGAGAAGGAAGAAAUGAGAAAGAAGCGGCAAGAGUCAGCAGCCAAGAGAGCAAGGAUGAGGGAAGAGGCUGAAGUCAGGCGUGCAGAAGAACGAAAGAGGAAGUUAGAGAAAAUGUGGGCAGACAACGAUUAUGAGUCUUGCAGCUUACCGCUGCAUUCGGAUGAUGAAGAUGAAGAAGAAGAGCGCCCUCAAGUAGAUAUUGAUGAUGAAGAUAACUAUUCUCUGGGUUACAUUAGUGGUGAUGUCACACAUCCCAUAAAUACUAAUGACAAGGAUGCCCUCAUCGUUCACUGUGUUGAUGAUAGUGGUAGUUGGGGCUCUGGUGGCUUGUUUUCAGCUAUCGAUGCCCGUUCCCCAACACCAGCUGAAAGAUAUGAACUGGCUGGUGAAAUGAAAGAUUUAUCUCUUGGUGAUGCCCACCUGAUACGAUUUGAUGAUAUAAAGGGAAAACGUAAUGGAAGAGAUUGGUUGGUAUUAGUUGUUGCUCAGCACAGAGACAAGCAUAACCACCUCUCAGGAAUCAACUUAACAUCUUUGAAGACUGCUCUUCAAAAAAUCUAUUCCAUUGCUAAACAGAAGAAAGUUAUUUUGCUUUGCAUUAGCAAGUGUUCACUUACCAAGGAUAGGUUACGCAACACCUGGAUUUAAUUGGUAUGGAACAGAACGACUUCUCAGGAAACACUUAUCAGCCAAAGGAAUACCAGUUUUUAUAUAUUACUACCCAAGGAAAAGCCGACAAACCCAGAAACAAAUCAAACAAGAUGUGUCAAAGGUUGAUGUCCAAAAGCCAUCGACCUCAGGUCACGUGGUCAGACCCAAGUGUCCAGAAAAGUCUUCAUUACCCAAUCUUC
rnacentral:misc_RNA from 1 species